AAACAAAGGCUCGCAACACGGUCCUUUGAACCUGACUCAAAUUCUUUAGAAAUACACUCUCCUCCCUCCCUCCGACAGACUCCAGCCAGCAGCCUGUUGGGAGAGCCUGAGAAGGAGUUGUGUGGCUCUACAGCACAGAGACAACUCUCGGAGGAGCGGAGCAAGACGAAAGCAGCAGGGUUAUUACUUACACUCCGUAGGCAUUGUGAUAAUCGUUUCGGUUGUGGCAUGAUAGUCAUCGUCUUCCAAAGAGCCAUCGCUACUGUCGUCUCUCUGGACGUCAUACUGAUCAAUCAGUUCCUGCAGUGGAGGAGCUUUGGGUAUAAGCUGUUUAAUAACGUCCCUGCUAAUGUUAGGUGCUUGUUCCAGGCGCAGUUUGCUGAGGAUUUGAAUUUUUAUGGCUUCUAUUCUGGAGGAUUUAGUGUUCUGUCUCCACGUACAAGCAUUGCACAGUCCGUCUUUUUCAGCGUUCUCUGUGGGCUGACUACUGCCAUCAAGAGCCACCGGAUCAACUGAAAUCUGCAUGAACAGAACCAGUUGGAUUCCACCCCUAAUUUGAAACAAAUAUUGUAAGGAAGCUCCUGGACGUCUGGGGAAACCAACACGUUCAUGCGUCUGGGAUUUUGCAGAGCCUCCUUUCAAGGCAUGCUUGGGUCUGCAUCUGCGUUUUAAGUACCAAGGCAAAACUUCACUCUGCCUGGCAGAUGAUUUCCUUGCUUCAGGAGCUUAGAGAGGUAGGGAGUCCUACCUGCUCAGGACUUCCUCACCAGCAGUGGUAUAAUUACAAGGGGUAACAAAGGCAGCAGAAAAGGCAAGGAACUGGAAGAAGCUUGCCCAAGUGGACCAACGCUGCGUGAUUUCAGCCAGUGUUGAAUUACGGAGGAGUCACAAUCUAACGUGUGAUUUGUGCUGACAGGAAGAGCUGCGCAGAGCUGCCAGCGCUUUUAUUGUGCAGAGGCUGCAGGGUGAAGAUGGUGUGUGCCUGACUGUACUGGACUGCACAGGCUGCCUCCAAACACACCGAGCUGCAGGACAGUGGAAGGCUGACACCAAGCAUCCCACCACCUCUCAUGAUAACCAAUGGUCAGGCUCAGAGCUGCUGCAAACGUCACCUCCUGCUUCAUACAGACACAAAGGCAAAAGAGUCCCAGUCGUGAAGCAAUCUGUGCUGUGCUAGGGACGAGGGGGAUGAUUUGUUCAGAGCAGCCAGGUCCUUGUGAUUAGAAAUGAGCUCGGUUUGGCAGGAAGCACUGAGGAAGGCUGGCAGAGAGGCAGCGUGGUCCUUGCAUGCAAGAUUUCUCCAGAAGUAAAGAAGCACUGGUGGAGACAGUGCAACCCCUGGCAAGAAGCAGCAACGCUGUGCAACAAAGGAAGGAGCCGCUUCCAGGUUAUGAAAACAUGCUGUUGAACUGAAUUUUGCAGCUG